rnacentral:rRNA from 1 species
CUACAGAGGGUGCGAGCGUUAAUCGGAAUUACUGGGCGUAAAGCGCGCGUAGGCGGCUUAUUAAGUCAGAUGUGAAAUCCCCGGGCUCAACCUGGGAACUGCAUCUGAUACUGGUAAGCUAGAGUUUUGGAGAGGGAAGUAGAAUUUCAGGUGUAGCGGUGAAAUGCAUAGAGAUCUGAAGGAAUACCAGUGGCGAAGGCGACUUCCUGGCCAAAAACUGACGCUGAGGUGCGAAAGCGUGGGUAGCAAACGGGAUUAGAUACCCCGGUAGUCC